AUCUUGCACAAUGAGGGCAACCCUGAUGCAGCGAUGCCGCGUGAGUGAAGAAGGCCUUCGGGUUGUAAAGCUCUUUCGACAGGGAAGAAGGGUUCUAUCUCGAACAGAAGUAGAAUUUGACGGUACCUGGAGAAGAAGCACCGGCUAACUUCGUUCCAGCAGCCGCGGUAAUACGAAGGGUGCAAGCGUUACUCGGAAUUACUGGGCGUAAAGCGUGCGUAGGUGGUUUGUUAAGUCUGAUGUGAAAGCCCUGGGCUCAACCUGGGAAUGGCAUUGGAUACUGGCAGGCUAGAGUGCGGUAGAGGGUAGUGGAAUUCCCGGUGUAGCAGUGAAAUGCGUAGAGAUCGGGAGGAACAUCUGUGGCGAAGGCGACUACCUGGACCAGCACUGACACUGAGGCACGAAAGCGUGGGGAGCAA
rnacentral:rRNA from 1 species